rnacentral:tRNA from 1 species
GCGCGGCUGGUGGAAUUGGCAGACACGCAAGACUUAGGAUCUUGUAUCGCAAGAUGUACGGGUUCGACCCCCGUGCCGCGCACCA